rnacentral:tRNA from 1 species
AGCUCAGUUUGGUAGAGCAUGGCUCUUGCAAUGCCUACAUAGUGGGUUCGAUUCCUAC